rnacentral:rRNA from 1 species
AUUGAACGCUGGCGGCAUGCCUUACACAUGCAAGUCGAACGGCAGCACGGGAGCAAUCCUGGUGGCGAGUGGCGAACGGGUGAGUAAUAUAUCGGAACGUGCCCAGUCGUGGGGAUAACGUAGCGAAAGCUACGCUAAUACCGCAUACGAUCUAUGGAUGAAAGCGGGGGAUCGCAAGACCUCGCGCGAUUGGAGCGGCCGAUAUCAGAUUAGGUAGUUGGUGAGGUAAAGGCUCACCAAGCCGACGAUCUGUAGCUGGUCUGAGAGGACGACCAGCCACACUGGGACUGAGACACGGCCCAGACUCCUACGGGAGGCAGCAGUGGGGAAUUUUGGACAAUGGGCGCAAGCCUGAUCCAGCAAUGCGCGUGCA